CGGUUCAGCUGACCAAGUGGAUGCAGUCGAACGUGGGAAGAUCCUGAAAUUCCUGGCCAAUUUGGAACAAGCAAGAAAAAUCGCUGAUGCUGGGAUCGGCACUAAAGUAACAAGGGGAAGAGACGGGGAUAAAAUGAGUGAGCGCAGAGGCAGAACGGACUUUGCGGAAGGAACUCAAGGUGGAUUUCCUCUUGAUGAAGAUUUUAUGAAUGAUGAAGCGUCACCUGUCAAUCCUUUACAUGGCAGAGGAUCAAGGACACCAACACAACAGGCGGGGAAGAAGUCAAAGAAGCGAGCUUGCUUCUGGAAAUACUGCAUCUAGAGAACACCCCAGAUUAACACUGCCCUCUGGACGGACC